rnacentral:rRNA from 1 species
UACAGAGGGUGCAAGCGUUAAUCGGAAUUACUGGGCGUAAAGCGUGCGUAGACGGUUACAUAAGUCGGGUGUGAAAGCCCCGGGCUCAACCUGGGAAUUGCAUUCGAGACUGCGUAGCUAGGGUGCGGAAGAGGGAAGCGGAAUUUCCGGUGUAGCGGUGAAAUUCGUAGAUAUCGGGAGGAACACCAGUGGCGAAGGCGGCUCUCUGGACAGGCACUGACGCUGAGACGCGAAAGCGUGGGUAGCAAACAGG